AGCGAACGCUGGCGGCAGGCCUAACACAUGCAAGUCGAACGAAAUCUUCGGAGUUAGUGGCGGACGGGUGAGUAACACGUGGGAACGUGCCUUUUGGUUCGGUAUCACUCAGGGUAACUUGUGCUCAUACAGCAUGUGCUCUUCGGGGGAAAGAUUUAUCGCCAUUAGAGCGGCCCGCGUCUGAUUAGCUAGUUGGUGAGGUAAUGGCUCACCAAGGCGACGAUCAGUAGCUGGUCUGAGAGGAGGACCAGGCACACUGGGACUGAGACACGGCCCAGACUCCGACGGGAGGCAGCAGUGGGGAAUCUUGCGCAAUGAGCGAAAGCCUGACGCAGCCGUGCCGCGUGAGUGAGGAAUGUCUUAGGAUUGUGAAAUUCUUUCACCGGGGGCGAGAAUGACGGUACCCGGAGAAGAAGCCCCGGCUAACUUCGUG
rnacentral:rRNA from 1 species